rnacentral:rRNA from 1 species
CCUACGGGUGGCAGCAGUGGGGAAUAUUGCACAAUGGGGGAAACCCUGAUGCAGCGACGCCGCGUGAGCGACGAAGUAUCUCGGUAUGUAAAGCUCUAUCAGCAGGGAAGAAAAUGACGGUACCUGACUAAGAAGCCCCGGCUAACUACGUGCCAGCAGCCGCGGUAAUACGUAGGGGGCGAGCGGUAUCCGGAUGUACUGGGGGGAAAGGGAGCGUAGACGGGUUUGCAAGCCCGAUGUGAAAGCCUGGGGCGUAACCGCGGGACUGCAUUUGGAACUGUCGAACUGGAGUGCCGGAGAGGCAAGCGGAAUGCCUAGUGUAGCGGUGAAAUGCGUAGAUAUUAGGAGGAACACCAGUGGCGAAGGCGGCCUGCUGGACGGUAACUGACGUUGAGGCUCGAAAGCGUGGGGAGCAAACAGGAUUAGAUACCCCUGUAGUC